UUAAAAAAUACAUCACUCUGGUUUAAUAAAAAAAGUCAUAUAAAACAUUAAACAUUUAUUUAAAAAAGUAUACAAUAAAUUCAAAAUUCGAUACAUUACAUACCAUAUAAAAUACAAACAUUAAAUAAAAACUUAAAAACUUUCGUCUAUCAGAAUACUGUUAUAUCAACAAUGUGUUAUAUACAUCGAUAGUUAUAUAUAAAAUAGUUUAUUUGGCAUGACUGUUUUGGGUGAUAACCAGUGUGCUCUGGCACCAGCCUGCAAACUAUUGAACAGGUUAUGUGAAACAUUGGGGCCUGACAGUCGCCAUGACCAAAGUCUCAGGUGCUACCCCAUCUCGGCAGCCUUGAUUAUAACCCCUAGUUCAAGCACAAACAGAAAAUGUAAUAUUAGGCAUUAUAGAUAUAAUACACAGAUAUUUCAUGGUUUACAUAAAUAAUUUGAGCAAAGUUUUUAAUUAUUUACAAAUUAUAAUGAAAUAUAC
rnacentral:lncRNA from 1 species